AGGACGAACGCUGGCGGCGUGCUUAACACAUGCAAGUCGAGCGGUAAGGCCUUUCGGGGUACACGAGCGGCGAACGGGUGAGUAACACGUGGGUGAUCUGCCCUGCACUUCGGGAUAAGCCUGGGAAACUGGGUCUAAUACCGGAUAUGACCUCAGGUUGCAUGACGUUGGGGUGGAAAGUAUUUAGUCGGUGCAGGAUGGGCCCGCGGCCUAUCAGCUUGUUGGUGGGUAAUGGCCUACCAAGGCGACGACGGGUAGCCGACCUGAGAGGGUGACCGGCCACACGUGGGACUGAGACACGGCCCAGACUCCGUACGGGAGGCAGCGAGUGGGAAUAGUUGCGCGAAGUGGGACGAAAGCCUGAGUGCAGCGACGCCGGCGUGGAGGAGUGGACCGGUCCGUUCGGGUUACGUAACC
rnacentral:rRNA from 1 species